UGGGGAAUUUUGGACAAUGGGGGCAACCCUGAUCCAGCAAUGCCGCGUGUGUGAAGAAGGCCUUCGGGUUGUAAAGCACUUUUGUCCGGAAAGAAAACGCCGUGGUUAAUACCCGUGGCGGAUGACGGUACCGGAAGAAUAAGCACCGGCUAACUACGUGCCAGCAGCCGCGGUAAUACGUAGGGUGCAAGCGUUAAUCGGAAUUACUGGGCGUAAAGCGUGCGCAGGCGGUCCGCUAAGACAGAUGUGAAAUCCCCGGGCUUAACCUGGGAACUGCAUUUGUGACUGGCGGGCUAGAGUAUGGCAGAGGGGGGUAGAAUUCCACGUGUAGCAGUGAAAUGCGUAGAGAUGUGGAGGAAUACCGAUGGCGAAGGCAGCCCCCUGGGCCAAUACUGACGCUCAUGCACGAAAGCGUGGGGGAGCAAACAGGAUUCAGAUACCCUGGUAGUCCACGCCCUAAACGAUGUCAACUAGUUGUUGGGGAUUCAUUUCCUUAGUAACGUAGCUAACGCGUGAAGUUGACCGCCUGGGGAGUACGGUCGCAAUGAUUAAAACUCAAAUGAAUUGACGGGGUCAUAGCUG
rnacentral:rRNA from 1 species